AAAACUUCAUCAGACCUUCUCUCUCUAUCGGCGACUCAAGAAUAUCAUGCCAGAUCUCUCACCAGAUGCCGUUUCAUGACCAGAUCUAGCUGAUUUAUCGGGUUGCUUUGGACUUUACCUCUGAUGGCGUUGUGUUCAAGUACGGCUCUAAGCCUAUUCAGUUAUUAGGUAUUUUGGAAAUCUAGAAAUUAGGUGAUCGAGAGUAAAUCUAUAUUUGAUCUUCCUAGCCUCCAUUGUUGAAAUCUAUUGGAUCUUGAGCUUUAAUGCCUUUUCAUGGUUUUAAAAGAUUAAGUAUUGUUGCACGAGAAUCAGCAAUAGAAUGCACCACCUGAACCAUGGGCAUUAAGAGAACGAUGAAUCUUGGCAUAUGUUGGGAAGCUUUAUUUACAGAAGCUGGACCUGCACUUGAAGUCUUAAGUGAUAUUCUUAAUGCCAUUGAUACCGGACUGGACGUUAGUUUCUAUACAAGAAACCCGUAAAACGCUACUAACUGAUGUCGAAUAACAGAAAACAAGGAUAGCUGGUUGAACAGGGUGAUGAUCGGCUGAAAGGAGGUAGGGUAAAUCUGGUUAGCUAGGCUGCACAAAUCAGAACUUUCUAUAGGGAUUGAUGAUGGGUUGUCUUAUAUGAGUUGUUUGAAGAAGAACUGAUCAGCCUGCAGCCCUACAUGAACUUCAGAAUGUGAUUCAACAUCAACAACAGAUGGUAUUUUGGCUCGCAAUAAAAAGAUGAACUUUAUGUCUUCUAGUAUGUGGCGAGACGAUGGUGACUGAUAGCGCCACGGUAAACCCAUCUCCACUGCUCGCAGCUGAUGUUAUGUGAGUUGGACACUGCCGCUGCUUCGUGUUUGAAAUCAAUGUAGGAUGUGUUGUUAAAUCUGUUUUUGGGUCUGGUGUUUGAGUCGAACAGACUCGAUCUAACUUUUCCCGAGCUUAAGAUUGAGCUGCAACGUUCUUGAUAAAUCAUGAAUGGUGAGGUGACGAUGAUGGCAAGUGUGCAUAAAAUGAAAGGAUGGUGAUUGUGAGAACCGAUGGCGAAGGCAGGUAUAAACCGGAUUGGGACAAAAAAAACUGGUUUUAACCUGUUUUUUUACAAUCGAUUCGUGUUAUAAACUGGUUUCAAAGAUCGAGAAUACGAGCCGGUAUCCAAACCGUCGGGUUGAAACUGGUUUUUAUUUCAAAUCGGAUUGGGUUUUUUUUCCAAACCGCCGCAUAGCAAACAUGGAGUUUGAGAAGAUUAACAAAGGCGGGGUUAUGGUAACUCAAGCAAUAGAUAAGCACCAAGGAUGAGGGGCAGCAGCCGUUCACCUUCAAAAUUGGCCAAGGCCAAGUUAUUAAAGAUUGAUGAUUUUGAUGUGAAAUAAAACGAGAUAAGGAGCUUUUUACAAACAUUUUAUGUUUGCAGUUGUAAGAAGUUGAUGAAUUUUCAGUCUGUCUUUGUUUAAAAAGGCGCACCUGAUGCACAAGGCGAUCAUGUACUUUUGGGCGGAUUCCUACAGCUGAUGCUUUGGCUAUUAGGAAUGUGAACGUUGGAAACGGAAGUUGCCCUCUAUGCAGGACAGUUCAGGAGACUGCGGCCCAUCUGUUCGCUACCUAUCUUGUUUUGAGGACAUCAUUUGGGCUUGGGUUAAAAUCCCGCAUCCAGUUGCGGCUGAGACUCUAGACCAAGUCAUCCAGUUUGGGGCGAAUUUAGUCAUGCCGACUUUGAGGAAAAAGGUAAUAAAUGCGAUCUUUUUCAUGACUAUCUGGAAGAUUUGGAUACAUCGCAACGAGAAAAUUUUCAAAUGUAAAGCAGUGUCGGUAGAUAAUAUCACAGAGGAGAUCAAAGAAGAGAGCUUCUGGUGGAUGGCGAAACGAUCGAGAAUGGUGGGCAUCUCGAUGGAGAACCGGGGAGAUUUUGACGUAGGGUUGCAAUUUUAAUGUAUCUGGUAGUUUAGUAUAUGCUUUCUUCUAUGUUUGUUUUUCUUCUAUUUGGUUGCGGCUUUCACAACUGCUUGCUGUGUUAGCUUGUUCAACUUGUAUUUGUAGUUUUGGUUUAUAAAAUUUUGAAAAUGAAGUUUGCAGCAUU
rnacentral:lncRNA from 1 species